UGCUUUAGUGCCUUCGGGAACUCUGAGACAGGUGCUGCAUGGCUGUCGUCAGCUCGUGUUGUGAAAUGUUGGGUUAAGUCCCGCAACGAGCGCAACCCUUAUCCUUUGUUGCCAGCACGUAAUGGUGGGAACUCAAAGGAGACUGCCGGUGAUAAACCGGAGGAAGGUGGGGAUGACGUCAAGUCAUCAUGGCCCUUACGAGUAGGGCUGCACACGUGCUACAAUGGCGCAUACAAAGAGAAGCGACCUCGCGAGAGCAAGCGGACCUCAUAAAGUGCGUCGUAGUCCGGAUUGGAGUCUGCAACUCGACUCCAUGAAGUCGGAAUCGCUAGUAAUCGUAAAUCAGAAUGUUACGGUGAAUACGUUCCCGGGCCUUGUACACACCGCCCGUCACACCAUGGGAGUGGGUUGCAAAAGAAGUAGAUAGCUUAACCUUCGGGAGGGCGUUUACCACUUUGUGAUUCAUGACUGGGGUGAAGUCGUAACAAGGUAGGCGUAGUGCU
rnacentral:rRNA from 1 species